GAUUUUUUUUAAAUUAAAAAAGGGGUCAAAAUUACUUUGAAAAUAGUAUCGACUUAUCCGGUCAUUUCUUAUAAUUUCCUCCUCCGAAUAUUGAUGAAAUUCACAGUUAGAAACAUCUGAAUUGUGAUCUAUAUAUCAAUCCGUCGCCCAGAUUCGAAAUCGGUUUCUUGAAAAUGGUUUCUCUGAUAAAUUCGAAGGUUUUAUUUAUUUAUUUAUUUAAGAAUUGCAUUACUAAAUGAUGCUAAUUUUGUAGGGAUGAAUUGAAGCGAAAAAGAUGCCAAUAUUUUCCCAGUUCAUUUCCAAUAAGAUAGUGCUGGGAUGGGAUUUUGUUUUAAUUGGAUCGAUUUCAUUUCUUGAAUCCACUUUUAUGUUUUAUAAUGAUAAGAAAUUUUCUUUCAUUUUGUAAAAAUUUUGUGGUUGGACUUAUGCUGGUGAAAUUGUGUAAUUUUCCUUAGAAUUGAGGCAUUGUACUAGUUAAUAUUUUAAAUUAGUUUUUAUAAAAAAUUUGAAUAAGAAACAUGCUGUAUAUAGGAAUGAAAUGUAUGAAUUCUUUGAUUAUGAAUUGACAUUUGCACUUUAAGAAUAUUAACGAACAUUUUGCCAGGUCAGUUUGUUAAUUUGGUGCAUUUUUGUUUUUACGUUUCGAACUAGUCUUGGGAAUAAUUAACACACAUCUGUGUUUCUAUGGCGUGAGGGAUUGCAAAUUGG
rnacentral:lncRNA from 1 species